GGGGGGAUGACCGAGCGGACGAAGGUGACGGUCUUGAAAACCGUUAGGGGCGCAAGUCCCUCCAGGGUUCGAAUCCCUGUCCCCCCG
rnacentral:tRNA from 1 species